rnacentral:rRNA from 1 species
GACGAACGCUGGCGGCGUGCUUAACACAUGCAAGUCGAGCGGAAAGGCCCUGCUUUUGUGGGGUGCUCGAGUGGCGAACGGGUGAGUAACAAGUGAGUAACCUGCCCUUGACUUUGGGAUAACUUCAGGAAACUGGGGCUAAUAACGGAUAGGAGCUCCUGCUGCAUGGUGGGGGUUGGAAAGUUUCGGCGGUUGGGGAUGGACUCGCGGCUUAUCAGCUUGUUGGUGGGGUAGUGGCUUACCAAGGCUUUGACGGGUAGCCGGCCUGAGAGGGUGACCGGCCACAUUGGGACUGAGAUACGGCCCAGACUCCUACGGGAGGCAGCAGUGGGGAAUAUUGCACAAUGGGCGGAAGCCUGAUGCAGCAACGCCGCGUGCGGGAUGACGGCCUUCGGGUUGUAAACCGCUUUCGCCUGUGACGAAGCGUGAGUGACGGUAAUGGGUAAAGAAGCACCGGCUAACUACGUG